GUAAGUCUGAGGAGACUCCUGGGGCAAGGAGUUACCAUGUACCUUAUUCCUGAAAGAAGGAACAGUGGCUUCAUAUUGAUUCCAUUGUAAAUUAUUGGAUUCCUUUUUAAAACAACUCUAUCACUGUGUCACAGAUAUAAACAAAGAAACAGAAACAAAAACACACCCUGUUCUAAUAUGUAUAUACAGUAUUAAACUGAAUCAGUAAUCCAUUUUUUAAUCUCCCAAAGAGAAAUACUUAGGUGGUGACACCUCCCUGCUCAUUCGCACAGGCUCUAUGUGCUGCCUGCCUCCACCAAGGACCAAGAAAAUGAAUUAUCUAGAAGGACUUACAUGAGCCAAAAAUAUAAGUUCACUGUGUAGAAUAAUGUCACUAAGAGCUCAGGAGCUAUGGUUUCCCUAUAUAACCUAAAUUUGUUUCUUCUGCUCACUCUUCACAUAUCUACAAAAACUUUAUUCUCCUGUUUCAGGUAAAACACUAAAAUUUUAAGUGAUCAUCUGCUGUUGUAGUAUACCUAAGAUCUAAGCUGUAAAACCACCUGUGAAAUACAAGCUAUACUUGCAGUCAGAUCUUUGGAAACGUUCCUUUUGAUUCUACUAUUUCAACAAAUAGAAAACCCAGCCCUGGAGAAAUAGCAGAGUAGAAAUGUCCUGCACAUCUUAUGAGUCUGAGGUGUAGCUCUGUUGGUAGAGCACUUGCCUGGCAUAGGUAAAGCCUGUGUGCAAUUCCCAGCACCACAUGAAACUAGGCAUCAGGUGACAUAUGAGAACUUGGGAGUUGGUACCCAGAGAUCAGAAGUUCAAGGUCAGCCUCAGAUACAUGGGGAGUUCAAGGCCAUCCUGAGCUAUGUAAAAUUCUUCCUAUUAAAAGGG
rnacentral:lncRNA from 1 species